GAAGCAUAUUGAUGUGCGGCCAA
rnacentral:snRNA from 1 species